rnacentral:rRNA from 1 species
GAACCGUGCGAACGUUGUUCGGAAUCACUGGGCUUAAAGGGCGCGUAGGCGGGCUGUCAAGUCUGGGGUGAAAUCCCGCGGCUCAACCGUGGAACUGCCUUAGAUACUGACGGCCUCGAGGGAGGUAGGGGCGUGCGGAACUGUGAGUGGAGCGGUGAAAUGCGUUGAUAUUCACAGGAACUCCGGUGGCGAAAGCGGCGCGCUGGACCUCUUCUGACGCUGAGGCGCGAAAGCUAGGGGAGCAAACGGGAUUAGAUACCCCGGUAGUCCUAGCCCUAAACGAUGGGUACUAGGUAGUAGACUAGAUAUGGGUUUACUGCCGAAGCUAAAGUGCUAAGUACCCCGCCUGGGGAGUAUGGUCGCAAGGCUGAA